UGCGUAGGCGGAUUAAUAAGUCAGUGGUGAAAUCUUUCGGCUCAACCGGGAAACUGCCAUUGAUACUGUUAGUCUUGAGUUCGGUUGAGGUAGGCGGAAUGUGUAAUGUAGCGGUGAAAUGCUUAGAUAUUACACAGAACACCAAUUGCGUAGGCAGCUUACUAGACCGACACUGACGCUGAGGCACGAAAGCGUGGGGAGCGAACAGGAUUAGAUACCCUGGUAGUC
rnacentral:rRNA from 1 species